rnacentral:lncRNA from 1 species
ACGUGCAUAUCUGUGAUUUUAAAAUAUUCACUUGGAUGCUUGAAAAAGGAAUAAAUACUAUUAUAUCAAAUGCAAAAAUGAAGAGGUCAAACACAGGAUUUUUCGUUUACGAAUUAUAAGCUCUGAAGAAGUCAUCUUAGAGUUUCUUCCCCUGUUAUCCCUUCAAAUUUUUAUCUUUCAUCUUCAAUAUGUCAAUAUAACUCCAUGGUAUUUCUCAGUUGUCAUCUCCAAUUCCAAUUGAAAUCCAAGUGAGAUUCUAAAGUCUAGUGUUAUCUUUCUCAUAAAUUAAUGGGUAUUACUUUUUUCAUAAUUAGCACAGAGUACCAGACAUAAAAUUUGUUCCUUUCCUUCUGCUUUCACGUAAAGAAAAAAAACAAUUAAUAUCUUCCUCCACUAAGCAGUCAAAUCUUUCACGAAACUCAAGCAAAUCACACUGGUCUCACUACAACAAAGAAUUACAGAACAAAGAAAUCAAAAGAAUGACAACAAAGCUUAAUUAUUGAAAAUUCCUAGACCUUACCCUCAUCUCAAUUUCCAUUUCUUCCGCAGUCUCUGCAUCCUCACCAUGUAUUCCAUCAUAUAGAGUCCUCAACAUCAUAAGCCAAAAACAGAUUGAAGUAUACUUUCUGUCAGUGGGCCAAGUAAGUCCGUUGACAAAAGGUUGUCUCUAUCUAACUAUCAUCGUCAAAUUACAUAUAUUACGAAAUUACAGUUUUUAAUACAGGAUAAACCAUGUCGUAUUAAACAGCAUGAUGUAUAACAUAAUUUUGAAAAAUAAAAAACUUACCUCUAGUUGGCUGGUACAUAUCUUCUCAUGAAUGUUAGGAUGAUUUAUGCCACGAUAUGGAACUCAUCUCUUUCACUUCCUUUCAUGUUACUGAAUCUCUUGGUAUUGUCUUACCAACAGAUAUUACUCUCAAGGCAUGCCGAGAAACCAGUUCUAUGGUGGGCUGGUGAACACAAACAUGAUCGUGCACUCUUCAAGCCUUCCAUCUUGAGCCCAUAACAUGGCGUCUCAAUGUUCAACUAUAUUCUAGUCCCUGCAAACAUAUGUAGAGGCUUCCUAAUCAAAAUUGAAACAGAAGUUGACAGUAUAAAAGUAGUAAUAAGCGAUAAUAGAAGAACAAAAUAAGUGAAUGAGAAAAU